AGUGCAUACGGUGGAUGCCUUGGCGGUAAGAGGCGAUGAAGGACGUGGUAGUCUGCGAUAAGCUUCGGGGAGCCGACAAACUGGCUUUGAUCCGGAGAUUUCCGAAUGGGGAAACCCACCGCUUUUGCGGUAUCUGCACCUGAACACAUAGGGUGUAGAGGCGAACCUGGCGAACUGAAACAUCUAAGUAGCCAGAGGAAAAGAAAUCAACCGAGAUUCCCUAAGUAGCGGCGAGCGAACGGGGAACAGCCUUUAAGCCUCAUGAGUCCUAGUAGAACGGUCUGGAAAGUCCGGCCAUAGUGGGUGAUAGCCCCGUACAUAAAAGAGCUCUUGAGGUGAAAACGAGUAGGGCGGGACACGUGAUAUCCUGUCUGAACAUGGGGGGACCAUCCUCCAAGGCUAAAUACUCCUUACCGACCGAUAGUGAACCAGUACCGUGAGGGAAAGGCGAAAAGAACCCCGGUUAGGGGAGUGAAAUAGAACCUGAAACCGUAUGCAUACAAGCAGUGGGAGCACUGGCUUUGCCGGUGUGACCGCGUACCUUUUGUAUAAUGGGUCAGCGACUUACUUCUCAGUGGCAAGGUUAACCGUAUAGGGGAGCCGUAGGGAAACCGAGUCUUAAUAGGGCGACUUAGUCUCUGGGAGUAGACCCGAAACCGGACGAUCUAUCCAUGGCCAGGUUGAAGGUGGGGUAAUACCUGCUGGAGGACCGAACCAACUAAUGUUGAAAAAUUAGUGGAUGAGCUGUGGAUCGGAGUGAAAGGCUAAACAAGUCCGGAGAUAGCUGGUUCUCACCGAAAACUAUUUAGGUAGUGCCUCGUGUAUCACUCUCGGGGGUAGAGCACUGUUAUGGCUAGGGGAGCGUCAAGCUUUACCAAACCAUUGCAAACUCCGAAUACCGAGAAGUGGCAGCACGGGAGACAGACUGCGGGAGAUAAGUUUCGUAGUCGAGAGGGAAACAGCCCAGACCGCCAGUUAAGGUCCCCAAGUUACAGCUAAGUGGGAAACGAUGUGGGAAGGCCCAGACAGCCAGGAGGUUGGCUUAGAAGCAGCCACCCUUUAAAGAAAGCGUAAUAGCUCACUGGUCGAGUCGGCCCGCGCGGAAGAUAUAACGGGGCUUAAGCUGUACACCGAAACUGCGGAUGCAUGCUUGCAUGCAUGGUAGGUGAGCGUUCCGUACGCCUGUGAAGGUGUGCCGUAAGGCAUGCUGGAGGUAUCGGAAGUGCGAAUGCUGACAUGAGUAGCGAUAAAGGGGGUGAAAAACCCCCUCGCCGAAAGCCCAAGGUUUCCUGCGCAAUGCUAAUCAGCGCAGGGUGAGUCGGCCCCUAAGACGAGGCCGAAAGGCGUAGUCGAUGGGAAGCAGGUUAAUAUUCCUGCACCAGUCAUGACUGCGAUGGGGUGACGGAGAAGGCUAAAUCAUCCGGGUGUUGGAUAUCCCGGUUUAAGCGUGUAGGAAGUGUUCUUAGGAAAAUCCGGGAACACAAUUCUGAGGCGUGAUGACGAGGACCCAUUUGGGACCGAAGUGGUUGAUGCCAUGCUUCCAGGAAAAACCUCUAAGCAUCAGGUCAUGAGUGACCGUACCCUAAACCGACACAGGUGGGCAGGGCGAGUAGCCCAAGGCGCUUGAGAGAACUCGGGUGAAGGAACUCGGCAAAAUGGCACCGUAACUUCGGGAGAAGGUGUACCCCUUGUAUGUGAAGGUCUUUACGACUGGAGCAGAAGGGGGUUGCAAUAAAGAGGUGGCUGCGACUGUUUAAUAAAAACAUAGCACUCUGCAAACUCGAAAGAGGACGUAUAGGGUGUGACGCCUGCCCGGUGCCGGAAGGUUAAUUGAUGGGGUUAGCUGCUUGCAGCGAAGCUCUUGAUCGAAGCCCCGGUGAACGGCGGCCGUAACUAUAACGGUCCUAAGGUAGCGAAAUUCCUUGUCGGGUAAGUUCCGACCUGCACGAAUGGCGUAACGAUGGCCACACUGUCUCCACCCGGGACUCAGCGAAAUUGAACUCGCUGUGAAGAUGCAGCGUACCCACGGCUAGACGGAAAGACCCCGUGCACCUUUACUACAGCUUCACACUGGACUUUGAAUAUGUUUGUGUAGGAUAGGUGGGAGGCUUUGAAGCCAGAACGCUAGUUUUCGUGGAGCCAAUCUUGAAAUACCACCCUAAUAUGUUUGAGGCCCUAACCGAGGUCCGUUAUCCGGAUCCGGAACCGUGUGUGGUGGGUAGUUUGACUGGGGCGGUCUCCUCCCAAAGAGUAACGGAGGAGCACGAA
rnacentral:rRNA from 1 species